GACUGCUAUCGGAUUGAUACUAAGCCAUGCGAGUCAUUGUAGUAAUACAAGGCAGACGGCUCAGUAACACGUAGUCAAUCUAACCUAUUGACGGGGAUAACCUCGGGAAACUGAGAAUAAUACCCGAUAGGCCAUUAUGCCUGGAAUGGUUUAUGGCUGAAAUGAUUUAUCGCAAUAGGAUGGGACUGCGGCCUAUCAGUUUGUUGGUGAGGUAAUGGCCCACCAAGACUAUAACAGGUACGGGCUCUGAGAGGAGAACCCCGGAGAUGGGUACUGAAACACGGACCCAGGCCCUAUGGGGCGCAGCAGGCGAGAAAACUUAGCAAUGUGCGAAAGCACGACAAGGUUAAUCCGAGUGUUUCCGGCGAAAGGAAUCUUUUGUCAGUCCUAAAAACACUGAUGAAUAAGGGGUGGGCAAGUUCUGGUGUCAGCCGCCGCGGUAAAACCAGCACCUCAAGUGGUCAGGAGGAUUAUUGGGCCUAAAGCAUCCGUAGCCGGCUGCAUAAGUCUUCGGUUAAAUUCAUAUGCUCAACAUAUGGGCUGCCGGAGAUACUGUGCAGCUAGGCAGUGGGAGAGGUGGACGGUACUCGAUAGGAAGGGGUAAAAUCCUUUGAUCUAUUGAUGACCACCUGUGGCGAAGGCGGUCCACUAGAACACGUCCGACGGUGAGGGAUGAAAGCUGGGGGAGCAAACCGGAUUAGAUACCCGGGUAGUCCCAGCUGUAAACAAUGCAAACUCAGUGAUGCAUUGGCUUGUGGCCAGUGCAGUGCCGCAGGGAAGCCGUUAAGUUUGCCGCCUGGGAAGUACGUACGCAAGUAUGAAACUUAAAGGAAUUGGCGGGGGAGCACCACAAGGGGUGAAGCCUGCGGUUCAAUUGGAGUCAACGCCAGAAAUCUUACCCGGAGAGACAGCAGGAUGAAGGUCAAGCUGAAGACUUUACCAGACAAGCUGAGAGGUGGUGCAUGGCCGUCGCCAGCUCGUGCCGUGAGAUGUCCUGUUAAGUCAGGUAACGAGCGAGAUCCCUGCCUCUAGUUGCCACCAUUACUCUCAGGAGUAGUGGGGCGAAUUAGCGGGACCGCCGCAGUUAAUGCGGAGGAAGGAAGGGGCCACGGCAGGUCAGUAUGCCCCGAAACUCUGGGGCCACACGCGGGCUGCAAUGGCAAUUACAUGGGUU
rnacentral:rRNA from 1 species